rnacentral:lncRNA from 1 species
GCUGCUCAAGGAAAUUUAUGGAAAAUUGUUCUACAUCAUUCAAUCAAAUGGAUUUACAAGUGGAUUAUGUUCAGUCCCCACAAGCAUUCCCCAUGCAAAAGCAUGCUGACACGUCACCUAAGAAAAAGGCAGUCUUGCAUGAUAUCAGAGUUAGAUGGUACGCCGCAAAAACAUCAUUAAAAAAAAAAAAAAAAAUCAUAGCAAGAUAUAUAUUUAAAGGUCAUGAGAUACUACAAUCAACACUGCUUUGUAGAGUUGUCACAAAAUUUCAUCUUUCUUUAGAGUC